rnacentral:rRNA from 1 species
AGUGAACGCUGGCGGCAGGCCUAAUACAUGCAAGUCGAACGGCAGCACAGCAGAGCUUGCUCUGUGGGUGGCGAGUGGCGGACGGGUGAGGAAUACAUGGGAAUCUGCCCAGUCGUGGGGGAUAACGUAGGGAAACUUACGCUGAUACCGCAUGCGCCCUUCGGGGGAAAGCCGGGGACCUUCGGGCCUGGCGCGAUUGGAUGAGCCCAUGUCGGAUUAGCUAGUUGGCGGGGUAAUGGCCCACCAAGGCGACGAUCCGUAGCUGGUCUGAGAGGAUGAUCAGCCACACUGGAACUGAGACACGGUCCAGACUCCUACGGGAGGCAGCAGUGGGGAAUAUUGGACAAUGGGCGCAAGCCUGAUCCAGCCAUGCCGCGUGAGUGAAGAAGGCCCUCGGGUUGUAAAGCUCUUUUGUCCGGAAAGAAAAGCGCCGGGUUAAUACCCUAGUGUCCUGACGGUACCGGAAGAAUAAGCACCGGCUAACUUCGUGCCAGCAGCCGCGG